UAUAAAUUGUACCCAAAAAUUCAGGAUCAGAACUUUACUCUCUUUCUCGAUCAUUCUUACCUCGUAAACAGUAAAAGAAACCUCAACUGGUCCAUUCUUGUAAACUUCUGUCAUGAUACUGUACGGAUCGGAGUUGAUCAGGUAUGCAUUGACGCCAAAAUGCUUGGAUUUACUCCAGAGUAGAUUCUCUUUAACACACUUCCUCUUGCACUGUGGAGUGGGAUAUCCAGGUUCACAUCCAGGGUGGGAACAUCCCUUAUUAUCAAAGUAAGGGUCACACUGACAGGAAAAAUUUUAUUAGUCGAGCAUAAUGAUCCACAAUCUUUUUUCAGAUUGGUAUAAGAAUCCCACAAUAUCUGAAAGAUGUAAUCCCUCUGAAGUACAAUAAGUGUAUAACAAAACAGAAUACCUCUUCAGUGACCACACCCUUGCGAACAAAGUAUUUCCAAGCUUCUAAUGGAUAUCCACCAUCACAACCAUCCCCACAUAAAUAGCCACAGCAUGCUACGAUAUCAUUAGCUGACAGAGAGAUAUUCUGCCUCACACAUAAAAAUUGAAUCAUUAGCGACAAUAACUAGAAUAAACUUGCAAGUUUUUGCAUGAAGGAAUGAAUUUACCAAGCCAUAAUGAAUACAGAAACGAUCAGACAAUGACUCAGCAGCACCAAAAGCCCAACAAGAACCACAAUGUCCCUGAAAUAUAAACGAUCAGAUUGUUAGAAUACCAGGAAAGAGCGAUUUAGCAAAUUCACGAGGAAAAACAAAUGAGUGAAAUUAGAACCAAGACAAAUCACCUGAUCUGCGUCGCAAAACAGUACCGGUGCAUGACAUCGAAAGAUGGAAAGCAUUAGCACCACUCUAUAGAAUUACAGCACUAAACCAAGGACAAAAGAGAAGAAACUAACCAAGAAUUCUCCCAAUAGUGCUACACUGAGGCCAAGCCACUCGUGCAUCAAACUCUUGGGGUAACUUCAAAAGUUCUGGAUGAGUUAAAAUAGGGAUGCCCUUCAAAUCACCCUUUCUUGUGGGCUUAACUCCAAGAAGGCGCUUAAAUUGGGAAACCUGUGAAUGAAGGGUACAUGCACUCAUAAAAGGAGAGCUGAAGGAUGUGGCAUUGCACAAAGAAAG
rnacentral:lncRNA from 1 species